GUGUCAGCCGCCGCGGUAAUACGGAGGGUGCGAGCGUUAAUCGGAAUUACUGGGCGUAAAGGGCGCGUAGGCGGUCGCGCAAGUCGGGUGUGAAAGCCCCGGGCUCAACCUGGGAAUUGCAUUCGAUACUGCGUAACUAGAGUCUGGUAGAGGGAAGCGGAAUUCCGCAUGUAGCGGUGAAAUGCGUAGAUAUGCGGAGGAACACCAGUGGCGAAGGCGGCUUCCUGGACCAAGACUGACGCUGAGGCGCGAAAGCGUGGGGAGCAAACAGGAUUAGAUACCCUGGUAGUCCACGCCCUAAACGAUGAGGACUAGACGUUGGGGGGAUAAAACCCUUUAGUGUCGCAGCUAACGCGUGAAGUCCUCCGCCUGGGGAGUACGGCCGCAAGGUUGAAACUCAAAUGAAUUGACGG
rnacentral:rRNA from 1 species